AUAACUAAAUGAUAACUAAAGUGGUUUGCCGAGGACAAGGCUUUCUAUUGCAGUUAGGAUGUGCCUGCUCCUGUGGUUCCCUCAAAUGCAGGAAGCUCAACUAAUUUGUGGCAGCAGGGAGAGAGUGUGCUCACUCCCCCUGC
rnacentral:snRNA from 1 species